AGAAGGUCUUCGGAUUGUAAACUCCUGUUGUUGAGGAAGAUAAUGACGGUACUCAACAAGGAAGUGACGGCUAACUACGUGCCAGCAGCCGCGGUAAAACGUAGGUCACAAGCGUUGUCCGGAAUUACUGGGUGUAAAGGGAGCGCAGGCGGGAAAACAAGUUGGAAGUGAAAUCCAUGGGCUCAACCCAUGAACUGCUUUCAAAACUGUUUUUCUUGAGUAGUGCAGAGGUAGGCGGAAUUCCCGGUGUAGCGGUGGAAUGCGUAGAUAUCGGGAGGAACACCAGUGGCGAAGGCGGCCUACUGGGCACCAACUGACGCUGAGGCUCGAAAGUGUGGGUAGCAAACAGGAUUAGAUACCCUGGUAGUCCACACCGUAAACGAUGAUUACUAGGUGUUGGAGGAUUGACCCCUUCAGUGCCGCAGUUAACACAAUAAGUAAUCCACCUGGGGAGUACGACCGCAAGGUUGAAACUC
rnacentral:rRNA from 1 species